GCGGGCCAGUCAUCCUGGUCAAAAGGAUCUUCAAUAGACACCACUAGAGGGAAGGACACAUGGGUCCAAGCAGCGCUGCGAUACAGCUGAAGUAAGUGCAUGUGGAUGACAGGCAGGAGAUGUGACAACAAAGCAACCACAAGGAGGAUGCAUCUUAGCAAAGACAGCAGAAAAUAAGGCGCCUUGUCGGGGAACGUUAGAGAUCUAAUGAUAGGGAUUAAAGGAAACAAGACAGGUAGACGGGAGCAGCCGCUGCCGGAGGGUGGAUGUGCAUUUAAAAAUAGUCUUAGAUGUAAUUAAAGAUACAGCCAGCAUGAGCAAAAUGCAGACGGGAAGCUCGCUAUGGGAGUGUUUGGACAAAAGGAAAGUUUUUCAUUGGCUGCCCCGCUUGAACGUGCCAUCUGGACAUCACAUGACCUGCAGACAUGGUGGCACGGGGAAGAUGAAGAGGGCGCAUACCUAUGAACGCGUGCAUGCAUGUGUAUGUAGACUUGCAUUGACACAAAUGAACACGUUAUUUAGCUGUCAAUACAUUUUAUGAAUAAGCAAGGGUUUAAAAAACAAAAGGAAAAAUACAGAAUCGGAAAACUCUUUAAACAACACUCCAUAAUUUAAGACAUGCAACCCCAAAACAUCAGAACAGAGGCACACUUCGCAAUUAUCUAACAAUGUUUAAUGAACUUUUUAUUUAUUACAUUAAUUAGUUAUCAGUAUACAAUUCAAUUCACCGACACACGAGUGUCUUCACAAACAUAAAAUGGAUUGUACAGCAGAUGUACUGUAUACUGUAGCACUUUAGUGCAGUGGGCAAAGACACAUGUCAAGUUUAGAGAAUGAGUGUUUAUAUAUAUUUAUACAUUAAGUGAGUGUAGUUAUACCCAUGUUUACACAGGGGCGUUUGUAAGUGUGUGUCUGUGUGUGUAAGAGUAAAGAAUUUAAACUCUAACCAUUGUGUGUGCGUGUGGGUGUGUGUGUGUAUAAUAUGUUGUUCAUGUAAAGACAGUCCAGUCA